GAAAGAUGAAAAGAACUUUGAAAAGAGAGUUAAACAGUACGUGAAAUUGUUGAAAGGGAAACGAUUGAAGUCAGUCAUACCAACGGGAAAUCAACCUCUUGAGCUCGGUCUCGUGGGUUUUGAAGAGUUUCAAAGCCUUCGGAUUCGCGGGAUUGGGAUCUCUUGGUGUACUUUUUCGUACGGUUAGUCAACAUCGGUUUUGAAUGUCAUAAAAUGACUGGAGGAAUGUAGCUUCGAUCUCGUAUUGAAGUGUUAUA
rnacentral:rRNA from 1 species